CAUGCGCCGCACCCGGCUUCUCCCUCCCACGCCUCCUCCCACUCCGAGAGCGCACACAGGUGCCGGCGUCGCUAUUCGCGCCCGGGAAUGGAAAGUUGGUGAGCCCGUGGUGCGCAUCGGCGCGCAUCCGGCAAGCCUCUCUCCGCGUGUGCCUGAGUCUGCAAACUCUUCCUGACCCCAAGCGCUCGCCGCCACCACUGACUGCACAAGUUGCACGAGGGAGCACAGCCUUCGUGGCUUGCACUGGACGCCGGGUUGCUCUCGGUUAGUCACAGAAAAGCCAUCCCACAAGUUUCAGUUUCCGAGAAGGAGACGCGCGCGAGUCGUCCUUGGGCAGGUUGGGAGAACCGAGUGGACAGGAGCGCGCUCGAAAAGCAGCGAGUUCCCAGAUAUUCUUUUUGCCGCUGACCCACAAGCGGUAACUCCGGGUGGGCGGUGAUGCUAAAAAACCGUGAGAAAGAACCGGGAUGUCUUGGACGACGUGGGAGCGGCAGUUUCGCUCUCAGACUUGUGCUUAGACUGCUGUGGAAGGUGGCAAUCACGGAGGCGCAAGGAACCACUGGAGGACCGUGGCCGAUGUAAUCCACCUGGAGGUAAUCCACCUGGAUUCUCAGCAAGAAAGCAGGUGGAGUUUUCAGACUGGAUAUACAUUGGGCCAGUCACACACACUCUUUUCUUCUGGGAAGUAUUUGGAGGGGAGACCUCCAAGGAAUACUAGAAGUGUGGUGCCGAGGCAUCUUUUGCUUUGAAAACCCUAUGCAGUUGCCCUAAGUCAGAUGUGACAACAAAAAAACCCACCAGCCAGCCAGCUAAGAGCAUCCAUCCACAUCAGGUAGGAACAGGCCAAGCAGUCUGUCUCUCUCUAGAAUUUUAUCUCAUCUUCUAAGUCCCCUGUGGAUUUUAAUGACUCUCACCUGUUCUCUGCAGAAUUCCAAUAGCUGCUGAAAAGCAUUGCAGUGUGAUUGCCAUGGCCCGCCUUCCUUGAAUAAAACUUCAGAUCCAGGACAACUUUUCACUAACAUCUUGUCUACAUAGGCUGGAGUCUAUGCAAUAAUGAUUACAAAGAGCUGGAGGCAGUCUGAAAGAGGCAUUGCUGCUCAUGAUGCAUACAAUCAUUACUCAGGCGUCUGUGGAAAACAAGUUUCGCAAGUUUUUAGAAGGUUUCAGAAUUCUAUUUGACCAGAGGAAACAGUAGAACAAAAGAGACAAGCACUUAAUGGAGGAAUCGCUGAGCUUUGUACAGCUGAUAUAAAAGCAGAAGGUGAACUCCAUAGCCAAGGACAUAGGUGGUUUUUGUGAGACUGAGAUGAAGGAGUGGGAGAAAGACAUGUACCUCCAAAGCCAUGGCUCUGCUGUUUCUAAGCUGCUGGGGAUUCAUCCUGACACUUUCGGCAUACAAAGCAGAUGCUCUACUACUGAGCCACAGCCCCACCUCCAUCCUCCCAGAAACAGCACAAGGAGGAGAGAGAAUGGGAAUGCAAGACGGUUGUGUAAGACCUGCAGCUGAGCAUCUGCUCUACCCCUUUCUUGCAGGGAACCUUUUUUAAAGUCCAGAAGUGUUAACCAAAGGGCAAGAGCAAAAGGCUCCUUGGCUUUUAGCUCUUAACCUGAGGAUUUGCCAGCUGGAUCCAUGGGGAGAGGGAAUGUCUCAGGAGAUGCACAACUCCACUGCUUGGAGAUCUCCUGGAAUUACAUCUGAUCUCCAGAUUAUAGUGAUGUCCUCCCCUGAAGAAAAUGGCUGCUUUGGUGGGUGGACAAGAGUGGCAAGCAUUAAACCCUGCUGAGGACCCUCCGCUCACUCAGUAAUCUUCAGUGAUUUCACAACCUGGAAUUUGCAAUUCUAUCUCUGCUUGUUUCUGGAACACUUGUCUAAGUUGAUUCAGGGAGUAAUCCUAAUCCUAAACAGUAAUCCCUCCUGGAUUAAAUGAUUGACAAAGGAAACUAUUAUAUAAAUAAAUUUCAGGACAUUCAGCAAAACAUUUUGGGAUUGAUCAGUACCACUUAGCCUUGCUUUCCCCUCACUUAUCAAAAGAACAAUAAAAUACACUAGAUUGCCUCUUCAA